GGAGUGGGCGAGGCGAUCGAUCGGCCGUUGACGGCGGCCGGUAGGAAAGUCCGGACUGGGCAGGGCACGGUGGUCGGUAACACCGACCCGGCGCGAGCCGAGGGAAAGUGCCACAGAGAACAGACCGCCGAUGGCGCCUCAGUGCGCACAGGCAAGGGUGAAACGGUGCGGUAAGAGCGCACCGCGCGGCCUGGUGACAGGCGCGGCACGGUAAACCCCACCGCCAGCAAGCCCACGUAAGCAGUGAGCGGCCCUGGGGCUCAAGCCUUGGGGCCGACGAUGCGGCCCGCAUCGUCAUCAACUGCGGGUAGGGCGCAAGAGCCGACGGGCAACCGUUCGGCCCAGAUACAUGAUCGCCCCUGCUAGCGCAGGAACAGGAUCCGGCUUAUUCGCCCGCUCCGCCU
rnacentral:RNase_P_RNA from 1 species